UACGUAGGGUGCAAGCGUUACUCGGAAUUACUGGGCGUAAAGCGUGCGUAGGCGGUGAGUUAAGUCUGUCGUGAAAGCCCCGGGCUCAACCUGGGAAUGGCGAUGGAUACUGGCUCGCUAGAGUGCGGUAGAGGAGAGUGGAAUUCCCGGUGUAGCGGUGAAAUGCGUAGAGAUCGGGAGGAACAUCAGUUGCGAAGGCGGCUCGCUGGACCAGCACUGACACUGAGGCACGAAAGCGUGGGGAGCAAACAGG
rnacentral:rRNA from 1 species